rnacentral:rRNA from 1 species
AUUGAACGCUGGCGGCAGGCCUAACACAUGCAAGUCGAACGAGUGGCGGACGGGUGAGUAAUGUCUGGGAAACUGCCUGAUGGAGGGGGAAUACUACUGGAAACGGUAGCUAAUACCGCAUACUCUCGGAUGCGCCUAGAUGGGAUUAGCUAGUAGGUGGGGUAAAGUCUCUCCUAGGCGACGAUCCCUAUCUGCUCUGAGAGGAUGACCAGCCACACGGGAACUGUGACACGGUCCAGAAUCCUACGGGGGGCAGCAGUGGGGAAUAUUGCACAAUGGGCGCAAGCCUGAUGUAGCCAUGCCGCGUGUAUGAAGAGGGCCUUCGGGUUGUAAAGUACUUUCAGCGGGGAGGCGUUACCCGCAGAAGAAGCACCGGCUAACUCCUUGCCAGCAGCCGCGGUAAUUC